CUAAUCUCCAAACUAAAAGCAACAGAAAACAAAGAAAAGAGACAAAAGGAGGAAAGGACUUACGAAAACGGUAGCAGAGUUACAAAAUCAGCAGCAGGGUUAAAAUUUGGCGGCAGACUUAAGAAACUGGCUGCGCAAAAUGAGAAAUGCUUCUAUCUUUAGUUGAAUCCAAUCACUAUCUGUGUAAGUAAAGUAAUGAAUUGCAUGAAUGACCAAACCCCUCAAACAAGAGACAAAAAAAAAAAACUAUUAAGAAACUUGGGGAAACUCAGUAUUUCAAACUAACAAAAGGGAGACACACUAAAUCAGAUUCUGCUCUAAGAAAGGGAAACUCGACAUUUUAGUCAAGUUUCUCAUAUUUAAGUUUUAGUUACUAGUAACAUUUACUAUUCGGGAACAAAAUUUAAGUUAACAAAGAAAGCAUCCACCACUGAAUGUAUUAACUCUAGAAUAAAAAUGAACACCACAUUUUCUACAAAAGUUGGAAAUCCUUUUAUAUGCUACUAGUUCCAUCCAUACAAUUUUGCUUCAAUGUGCACCAUGACUUCCAAUAUUGUAACAAAUCUCUAAAGC
rnacentral:lncRNA from 1 species